rnacentral:lncRNA from 1 species
UAGAUUUGUGCCUUGCAAUUAACUAAAGAUGACAAGAUUGAAAAGCUUAAGAGAGAUUUGAAUGGUAUUGCGACAAUCAAAAGAGAUUGUACAGUUGUUGAAGGGGAUUUGGAGCUUCAAGAGAAGUUGUUGUAGGUGGUAGUGUUGUUGGUGAUGGAGGAGGAAGUUCUUCUCCAAAUGUUGAUAGAGGUACUAGUGGUGUUGGUGCCGAAGGAGGAGGAGGAUCUUAUCCAUUUGUUACUAGUGAACUUGGUGGUUUUAG